CCUUUUUGUUUCAUGAUUUAUGACUACUAUUAAACCAAAAUUAAGCUCUUGAAAAAGAAAUGAGUUCCACAAGGAUUUAAUAAGUCUGUCUAAACUAUACAAAAAAAUUUUUUCUUCACACAGAACACUGAGGCAUUUCCAAUAUUUUUAUUGGCAACAGGCAGGAUUUUUACCAAUUAUUAUGGAUGGAAAACAGAACUUCCUAGUAACUCCUUCUGACAACUAGUUGGCUUUCUUCUGUUUCUAUACUACAUUUUCAUCCAGUGCAACAGUUUCCUAUUCUGGGGAUUAGAAGAGGAUCUCAAACAUCAGAAGAUAAACACAGGCCACAGUGGUGUAUUUUUACACAUUGACCUUUUCCAGAUACAAUUUCACUUCUGUUGAUGGUACAGCAAGUCUAAGCAUACUCCACAAUGACUCUCUGGCUUGCUUCUGUUAGCUGAAACUUACUCAAGAAGUUGCUGUCAAUUCUCCUGCAGGUUAGGAGAAUCAUUCUUUACAGCUUGCCUGGUUUCCCAUGACUUGAAAAGUAGGACUCCUUGUUUUGAGCCAUGAAUUCUAGUCCCUGACAUGGCAAGUGAAACAUGAAGCCACUGGCAGAUUGGCUCAAUCUCUGCUUUUUCAAGUGAGCAGAUCAAUGUUUUCUCUAAAUUAUCAAAGUGAUCCUGGCUGUUUUCUACUAAGUGAAAAGUGACAAUAUCCCGUCAGCAAAAAAACCCCCAUAUGUCUUGUAAACUUUUCCAAAUCAAUUCCUAAACUUUUAGCUUGAAGAGGCUAGUGCUUAUUUUUUAAAAAAUUGUUUCAUUUUUCACCUACUUGUAAGUUAUCUGUAGUUUUUAAUUUCACCUUUCUGUAUUAAGUGUUCUGAGUGACCUCUACUGGUUGAUUAGAUGAAAUUAGCCCUGUACAUCAUCUCUGUCUUGCAAAUAGGGACAACAAUCCACUGCCACUGAAAGCUGUAAAUUUCUUUGUCUGUUAAAGCAAAUUUUUUGCUAACAACCAUGACAUACAGCAUCUAUGAAGUAUAGUUUAAGAAAAGACAGGAUUACUUGCAUGUUAAUAAUUUUCAUAUUUUACCAUUAUUUAUCUCUUUACAUAUAGCUAAUACUUGAAGGUGAAAAUGGACUAAGAAGAAUGUUUUAAUCUAGUAACCAGUGUGAAAUAAUUCAAUUGUAUCUCUCUGCCUGACAAUGAUGUCAUUAAAAAAGGAAGACUGAUAUGCUGUGGCAAACAUAUUACAGCUUUCUAAAUGACUUUUAACACCUGAUAUUUUUUUUUUCCAAACAAGUUUGUGCACACUCAUUUUAUGUAAUGAGUUCUGCAGGAAGGAGGUACACAGCAAGAAAAAAAGGCUACUUUGACUACACACUAUGUAUAAAAAGACUUAUGGUUAUUUUUAGCCAUAAAUUCUAGCAAAUGUCUUGACUAUCUAGUUAACAUUUAAGUGUUUCAAAAGUUUGUAACAUGUAAGUCUGAGUAAAUUUUCACAGAAACAGAGGACUUUUCUGACACAAAACCAACUCUGCUUUGCAAACUGAAAGACUUCAUGAGUACUAAAAUAUGUUCCUGUAAAUAGCAAAGCUUUAAAGACGUGGGAAGAAAAAUUUCCUUUAACACACCUCUCUGUAACUAUUUUACUUCUGAAAUUGUGCUCUU